rnacentral:rRNA from 1 species
GAUGAACGCUGGCGGCGUGCCUAAUACAUGCAAGUCGAGCGAACGGACGAGAAGCUUGCUUCUCUGAUGUUAGCGGCGGACGGGUGAGUAACACGUGGAUAACCUACCUAUAAGACUGGGAUAACUUCGGGAAACCGGAGCUAAUACCGGAUAAUAUUUUGAACCGCAUGGUUCAAAAGUGAAAGACGGUCUUGCUGUCACUUAUAGAUGGAUCCGCGCGGCAUUAGCUAGUUGGUAAGGUAACGGCUUACCAAGGCAACGAUGCGUAGCCGACCUGAGAGGGUGAUCGGCCACACUGGAACUGAGACACGGUCCAGACUCCUACGGGAGGCAGCAGUAGGGAAUCUUCCGCAAUGGGCGAAAGCCUGACGGAGCAACGCCGCGUGAGUGAUGAAGGUCUUCGGAUCGUAAAACUCUGUUAUUAGGGAAGAACAGAUGUGUAAGUAACUGUGCACGUCUUGACGGUACCUAAUCAGAAAGCCACGGCUAACUACGUG